rnacentral:misc_RNA from 1 species
CACUAGCCCCGAUCGCAGCUUUGUCUGAGCUCAUUUUUUAGUUUCGGCGCGGCAGCUCCGCUGCCGCGCCGAAACUAAAAAAUAGCGAGUGCGGAGAGCGGGAAACAGC